AUUACAUCGCAACCUUUGCGACCAACUUUGUAUGUUCCUUUAGUAAAAAUAUAGUACUUAUCUUCCCCUGAGAGAGGAUCGGCGGGAAACAGACCCCAAACCAUAGUCUAUUCUAUCAGAGUGAUCGAGUACAGUAUAAAUAAUCUGGAACUGGAGGGACUCGUCCCGUGAUUUUUGAGCUUCAAUGCGGAAACUCUACGAGUUCUUCUCCUACCGUCGAAUAGCCAUGGCUGAGGUCAGGCUUAAGGAGGGCGUUUUUUUUUUUCCUAAAUUAC
rnacentral:misc_RNA from 1 species